rnacentral:rRNA from 1 species
UCUCCUGGAAACGGGUGGUAAUGCCGGAUGCUCCAUCACACCGCAUGGUGUGUUGGGAAAGCCUUUGCGGCAUGGGAUGGGGUCGCGUCCUAUCAGCUUGAUGGCGGGGUAACGGCCCACCAUGGCUUCGACGGGUAGCCGGCCUGAGAGGGCGACCGGCCACAUUGGGACUGAGAUACGGCCCAGACUCCUACGGGAGGCAGCAGUGGGGAAUAUUGCACAAUGGGCGCAAGCCUGAUGCAGCGACGCCGCGUGAGGGAUGGAGGCCUUCGGGUUGUAAACCUCUUUUGUUAGGGAGCAAGGCAUUUUGUGUUGAGUGUACCUUUCGAAUAAGCACCGGCUAACUACGUGCCAGCAGCCGCGGUAAUACGUAGGGUGCAAGCGUUAUCCGGAAUUAUUGGGCGUAAAGGGCUCGUAGGCGGUUCGUCGCGUCCGGUGUGAAAGUCCAUCGCUUAACGGUGGAUUCGCGCCGGGUACGGGCGGGCUUGAGUGCGGUAGGGGAGACUGGAAUUCCCGGUGUAACGGUGGAAUGUGUAGAUAU